GAUGAACGCUGGCGGCGUGCUUAACACAUGCAAGUCGAACGGGAAACCUUUUAUUGACGCUUCGGCAGAUUUCGCUGGUUUCUAUUGGCGGACGGGUGAUUAACGCGUGGGUAACCUGCCCUAUACAGGGGGAUAACAACCAGAUAUGGUUGCUAAUACCGCAUCAGCGCACACAGCCGCAUGGUCCGGUGUGGAUAACUCCGGUGGUCUAGGAUGGACCCGCGUUGCAUUAGCCAGUUGGCAGGGUAACGGCCUACCACAGCGACGAUCCAUAGCCGGGCUGAGAGAGUGAACGGCCACACUGGGACGGGGACACAGCCCAGAAUCCUACGGGAGGCAGGAAUGGGGGAUAUUGCACCAUGGGGGGAAUCCUGAAGGUGCGACGCCGCGUGAAGGAAGAAGUUAGGCAGUAAGUAAAGUUCUAGCAGCAGGGAAGAUAGUGACGGUACCUGACUAAAAAGCCACGGCUAACUACGUG
rnacentral:rRNA from 1 species